CCUACGGGAGGCAGCAGUGGGGGAUAUUGCACAAUGGGGGGAACCCUGAUGCAGCGACGCCGCGUGGGUGAAGGAGUGCUUCGGCAUGUAAAGCCCUAUCGGCAGGGAAGUAAAUGACGGUACCCAAAGAGGAAGCUCCGGCUAACUACGUGACAGCAGCCGAGGUAAUACGUAGGGAGCGUGCGUUGUCCGGAAUUACUGGGGGUAAAGGGAGCGUAGGCGGGCGAGAAAGUUGAAUGUUAAAUCUACCGGCUAAACUGGUAGAUGCGUUCAAAAAUGUUUGUCUUGAGUGAAGUAGAGGCAGGCGGAAUUCCUGGUGUAGCGGUGAAAUGCGUAGAUAUUAGGAGGAACACCAGUGGCGAAGGCGGCCUGCUGGGCUUUAACUGACGCUGAGGCUCGAAGGCGUGGGGAGCAAACAGGAUUAGAUACCCUAGUAGUC
rnacentral:rRNA from 1 species